rnacentral:rRNA from 1 species
GAUGAACGCUGGCGGCGUGCUUAACACAUGCAAGUCGAACGAAGCACUUUAAUCGAUUUCUUCGGAUUGAAAUUUUAGUGACUGAGUGGCGGACGGGUGAGUAACGCGUGGGUAACCUGCCUCACACAGGGGGAUAACAGUCGGAAACGGCUGCUAAUACCGCAUAAGCGCACAGUACCGCAUGGUACGGUGUGAAAAACUCCGGUGGUGUGAGAUGGACCCGCGUCUGAUUAGCUAGUUGGCAGGGCAGCGGCCUACCAAGGCGACGAUCAGUAGCCGACCUGAGAGGGUGACCGGCCACAUUGGGACUGAGACACGGCCCAAACUCCUACGGGAGGCAGCAGUGGGGAAUAUUGCACAAUGGGGGAAACCCUGAUGCAGCGACGCCGCGUGAGCGAAGAAGUAUUUCGGUAUGUAAAGCUCUAUCAGCAGGGAAGAAGAAAUGACGGUACCUGACUAAGAAGCACCGGCUAAAUACGUGCUAGCCGCCGCCGUAA